GACGAACGCUGGCGGCGUGCCUAAUACAUGCAAGUCGAACGAACCGCGACUGAGUGCUUGCACUUGGUCAACGUGAGUGGCGAACGGGUGAGUAACACGUGGGUAACCUACCUCAUAGUGGGGGAUAACAGUCGGAAACGACUGCUAAUACCGCAUAGGACAUGGAAUCACAUGAUUCUGUGAGGAAAGGUGGCGCAAGCUAUCGCUAAGAGAUGGACCCGCGGUGCAUUAGCUAGUUGGUAGGGUAAGGGCCUACCAAGGCGAUGAUGCAUAGCCGACCUGAGAGGGUGAUCGGCCACAUUGGGACUGAGACACGGCCCAAACUCCUACGGGAGGCAGCAGUAGGGAAUCUUCCGCAAUGGACGCAAGUCUGACGGAGCAACGCCGCGUGAGUGAAGAAGGUCUUCGGAUCGUAAAGCUCUGUUGUUAGAGAAGAACAGCGCAUAGAGUAACUGUUAUGCGUGUGACGGUAUCUAACCAGAAAGCCACGGCUAACUACGUG
rnacentral:rRNA from 1 species